rnacentral:rRNA from 1 species
GGAGGAAAGCAGGGGAUCGCAAGACCUUGCGCUUUUGGAGCGGCCGAUGUCUGAUUAGCUAGUUGGUGAGGUAAAGGCUUACCAAGGCGUCGAUCAGUAGCUGGUCUGAGAGGACGACCAGCCACACUGGGACUGAGACACGGCCCAGACUCCUACGGGAGGCAGCAGUGGGGAAUUUUGGACAAUGGGGGAAACCCUGAUCCAGCCAUGCCGCGUGAGUGAAGAAGGCCUUCGGGUUGUAAAGCUCUUUCAGCCGGAACGAAACGGUCACGGCUAAUACCUGUGACCACUGACGGUACCGGAAGAAGAAGCACCGGCUAACUACGUGCCAGCAGCCGCGGUAAUACGUAGGGUGCAAGCGUUAAUCGGAAUUACUGGGCGUAAAGCGUGCGCAGGCGGUUUUGUAAGUCAGAUGUGAAAUCCCCGGGCUUAACCUGGGAACUGCGUUUGAAACUACAAAGCUAG